UACGGAGGGGGCGAGCGUUAUUCGGAAUUAUUGGGCGUAAAGGGCGCGUAGGCGGUCCGACAAGUCAAAGGUGAAAUCCCUCGGCUCAACUGAGGAACUGCCUUUGAAACUGUACGGCUUGAGGCCGGGAGGGGUAGCGGAAUUCCCAGUGUAGCGGUGAAAUGCGUAGAUACUGGGAGGAACACCAGUGGCGAAGGCGGCUACCUGGACCGGUUCUGACGCUGAGGCGCGAAAGCGUGGGUAGCAAACAGGA
rnacentral:rRNA from 1 species